rnacentral:rRNA from 1 species
GUCCACGCCCUAAACGAUGAGUGCUAGAUAUCGGGGCUUAUGUCCUCGGUGUCGUAGUUAACGCGUUAAGCACUCCGCCUGGGAAGUACGAUCGCAAGAUUAAAACUCAAACGGAAUUGACGGGGACCCCGCACAAGCAGUGGAACAUGUGGUUUAAUUCGAUGCUACGCGAAAACCUUACCAGGCCUUGACAUAAUGGUUAAUUUGUAGAGAGAUCUACGAGUCGGUUCGGCCGGACCAUUACAGGUGUUGCAUGGCUGUCGU